CAGGCCUAACACAUGCAAGUCGAGCGGAAACGAGUUGUCUGACCUUCGGGGAACGACAACGGCGUCGAGCGGCGGACGGGUGAGUAAUGCCUGGGAAAUUGCCCUGAUGUGGGGGAUAACCAUUGGAAACGAUGGCUAAUACCGCAUAAUAGCUUCGGCUCAAAGAGGGGGACCUUCGGGCCUCUCGCGUCAGGAUAUGCCCAGGUGGGAUUAGCUAGUUGGUGAGGUAAAGGCUCACCAAGGCGACGAUCCCUAGCUGGUCUGAGAGGAUGAUCAGCCACACUGGAACUGAGACACGGUCCAGACUCCUACGGGAGGCAGCAGUGGGGAAUAUUGCACAAUGGGCGCAAGCCUGAUGCAGCCAUGCCGCGUGUGUGAAGAAGGCCUUCGGGUUGUAAAGCACUUUCAGCAGUGAGGAAGGGUGUGUAUUUAAUAGAUGCACAUUUUGACGUUAGCUGCAGAAGAAGCACCGGCUAACUCCGUGCCAGCAGCCGCGGUAAUACGGAGGGUGCGAGCGUUAAUCGGA
rnacentral:rRNA from 1 species